UACGUAGGGGCCAAGCGUUGUCCGGAUUUAUUGGGCGUAAAGAGCUCGUAGGCGGUUGGGUAAGUCGGGUGUGAAAACUCGAGGCUCAACCUCGAGACGUCGGCGGAAACCAUCCAGCUAGAGUCCGGAAGAGGAGAGUGGAAUUCCUGGUGUAGCGGUGAAAUGCGCAGAUAUCAGGAAGAACACCCGUGGCGAAAGCGGCUCUCUGGGACGGUACUGACGCUGAGACGCGAAAGCGUGGGGAGCGAACAGG
rnacentral:rRNA from 1 species